GCUGCUGAGGGAAAAAAUCCCCACCAUACACUGAGGGAGGUCACUAGAGGGGGAUGUUAACCUUGGACUAAGAGGAAUGAGGACCUCUCAUUAAAUCUGCUCAUUGACACUAGGAUCUGUGCCUAGUGGCCUUUGCCAAACCCCUGGUUCCUCACUGUUGGUGAGCAAGGUGCUGGGUUCUUCACAUUCACCUGACCAUCACCAUCUGCUCCAAAAGUGGUUUCUUCUAAUUCAGCAUCCAUAUAAUCUCUGAUGGACGCUCUCUGGUGAAGGACACUACUGCAUAUGGACGUGAGGGGGUAUCACAAGUUUUCCAGCACAUCUCCAAAUUUUGUUUUCCUAACUUGGUAAAGUCACAGCAGGUUCUGUCUUAAUGUGCAGUCACACCUGAGAUGACACAGUCCUCACAAAGUUAGAUUUUCUUCCUCACCAGCAAUAAAACCUUGGCACCAGUAUAUGUUUUCAGAAAUAUAUGCAUACUAAAGUAACUAAAAUAAUAUUAAAGAGUAGUUAGUGGCACAUUCAUAUUAGCAGAAGCUUCUGCAGGACCCGCAUGUCAAUGUGCAACAGGGCAUAACCUUGUUUACUUGGUGUGACACAGAAUAUCGUGGCACCCAGCUGUGCAUUUCCUUCACAUGGUCCUAGUGACUGUUUGGAUAAAGUAGAUGUAAUAUUAUUUAAAAUCCCAACAUUGAUGAUUUUUUGCAUCUGCUGUUGAUUUUGGCAGAGAGUUGUAAACAAAUUCCUUCCCUGAAUUGCUUAUAGGCAAAUACUGCAUGCUUUAAUUAGAGUUCUUAAUCUAACUUGUCACUCUGUUUACAUCAAACAGUUUCUUCCUGGCUCUUUAUCUACUUUUCUUCAUCUCUGACGUUCUGUUUCUUCUCAUUCUCUUCACAAUCCCUUUAUCUUUUCUUCAAGGAUGUGCAACUCAAAAGUGUUUAUUUUGACAAUAUUACUUAGUGAUCUCUCCACAGAUGAAUAACGCCUUGGGUGCACAUCCAGUGAUGCUCCUACAAUAGAAGCCUUAUCAGAGGGGUGAAUUUGGCCCUUUGGCUUUUCAGCACAGUAAAUUAACACAUUAAAAGGUACAGAUAAAAAAGCUUGCCUCAAAUAUAAUCAGAAUUUUUCUCAGUAAACAUUCAGUAAGCAGAGUUUCUAAACCAUCGGUUGCAAAUCAAUGAGCAGAACUGUCCACAAGCCUGGAGGCAGACUCAGACAGAUUCCCUUUGUAGUGCUGCCUCAUUUCUGAAUGGCUGAAAGUGAUUUUUAUGAGCUGAAAUGUGUUGCUGCCCUAAAAUAGAGUUUAUUUUUUAGAAGCUAGACAUCACUGCACGUCUUUUGUAGAGUAAUAUGUGGCACAUAGAACAGGGAUGUCGUGGGCCAUUGUUACAAAUUCUGAUGCUAAGAAAUCUGUGCGAAUGGUUUUGUAAUAAUUCCUGGACAAGUCUCUCACUAUUCAAGUUGCCUUAAUAAACACUGGAGUUCCCAGCUGCCUGCCCUCGUGAGGGACUAGAACUGAAGGAGCUUUAGUGAAAAGGGCUCUGGAAUAAAAUCUGGUAGCUGCCCCAAUUAAAAAACGUUAUUGUGGAGUCAAAUGACACCCCAGAUUUGUAUCGGUCGUGGUGAACCCAUGCCAUCAAUUGGAACUUUCUGGUUUUUUGCUCCCUGUUGAUGAACAAGCAGAGACAUCAGUGAGGUCUCUAGAAGUAAUAAGCAUUAGACCUGCUUUUCUACCUAUAAAGAUCCUACCCCUACCUGAGCGCUGCUAAUUAAAAAAAAAAAGGAAAUAAAUCCAUUCUUUAGUAUGGAAAAUCACUUCCAGUUCUUGUAUCUUAGCUUUUUAUAAAUUUUAUUAGUUUACUAGUGGUUUCACAUAAGGAUGAGCAGGGACUGGAUGUCCCAGAGCAAACAAGAGUUCUUGCCCUGACGAGAUGAUGACUCUAGGCUGGUAUCAGAGUAUUUUGUCUUUGAUUAUUUUAGUAGGAUAGGACAGGGGGUUGCCUGGUGGUUUUGGCAGAGGCAGUUUCUCCUGAUGCACGGCAGGUGUCAGAGGGAAGAUUUUGGGGUUGAUCCUGUGGUGUCCUAACUAGUUCCCUCAUGCUAUCCCGUUGCUGCCCUGAGACAUCUCUUGCAAGAUUUUUCCUGGUUUAUAGAGGAGUAUUUCACUGACCAGUGAAAUAUCUUUGCUUGAAUAAUAAGGAUAGCACAUGUGAUAAAACAGCAGUCACCUUUCUCAGAACUGUGGGCUGAUGACUCUCGGAUUUCUCAAAAUGUGUCAUUUUGAUUACUAAAAGAAAGUAGUUUUUUUCAUCUGACUCUUGCACUAGAAUGAAUCUAACUGCAGAUGCAGGCUUCUCUUAUAUGGGCUACUUAAUGAUAAAGGGUAUCUGCUGUUCUACCUGUGUGACAUGUCCCUUCCAGGGUUCUGCUCUCUAAGUGUUUGAAAUGAAAUUAUCCAGAUACUUUUCAGUUCUUUCUGUUGCUUGCCAAGGAACUAAGAAAAAGAAUUGCACAACUAUCUUGAUGAUUUGGUAUUUUGCUCUGAACUCGGUAGCUCAGUAGCUGAUACUCACAAAUGCCUGUGUAUUGGAUGAAAAUGCAUUAAAAAGUUACUUUAUAUAUUGUA